AUUUCACUUCCUGUCUCACUUGGUGAGGAUACCAGAAGUAGGUUGUCUGAAGCUCUGAAAUACAGAAGACGGCUCUCACCACCAUUCUAUGGUGUUGGCACUCGAAAUCGGGACUUCCCAUCCUCCAAAACUUUGGAUAAAAGCAUUUCAGAGGAACUACAUGUGUUAUGUUGAUAGCAAGAUUUGGAAGACAGCUGCUGGGGAUGAUCACCAUAAAAGCACCUCUGGGAAGGAUUUAAAGACGUGUGUUUCAAGGGUGACUGUUCCACGUAGCUGAGACACCACCAGCCAUGGUGACUCAGAAUCAAGCCAAACUGAUGGUAAUUCCAGUUCUUAUAUCUCAUCCCAACUCUAACAUCUGAGCUUGUUGUCCUGCCCUUAUGAUGAAGAUUACAUCUGCUACCAUAACUACUGGAUCCUUUUAUUGGUUCUGAAUCUAAAUUGUAGUGAUAAUCUGUCCAGUAUUUAAUUCCAUCAUAACUGACUCCUUGUACUUAUUCUCUUCUCUU